rnacentral:rRNA from 1 species
UGAGGAAUAUUGGGCAAUGCCCGAAAGGGUGACCCAGCAACGCCGCGUGGAGGAUGAAGGUCGUAAGAUUGUAAACUCCUGUUAGAGGGGAAGAAUAACUAAGUUUGGAGCUUAGUAUGACUGUACCCUCAGAGAAAGCCCCGGCCUAACUACGUGCCAGCAGCCGCGGUAAUACGUAGGGGCAAGCGUUGUCCGGAUUUACUGGGUGUAAAGGGCGCGCAGGCGGAAUGGAAAGUCAGUGGUGAAAUCCUACAGCUUAACUGUAGAACUGCCUUUGAUACUUUCAUUCUUGAGUUCGGGAGAGAGAGACGGAAUUCCAGGUGUAGUGGUGAAAUACGUAGAUAUCUGGAAGAACACCAGUUGCGAAGGCGGUCUCUUGGUCCGAUACUGACGCUGAGGCGCGAAAGCGUGGGGAGCAAACAGGAUUAGAUACCCCUGGUAGUCCACGCUGUAAACGAUGAAUACUAGGUGUUGGGUUUUUAACUCAGUGCCGCACUAACGCAUUAAGUAUUCCACCUGGGAAGUACGAUCGCAAGGUUG